rnacentral:lncRNA from 1 species
CAACCCUAGCUUCCUUUCUAAUAGAUAUCAGACAUCACGGACUGAAAGCAAACAUCACAGAAUGAGGCCCUGCGACCCCCAGCACACAGCAGGUCUGGCUGACCUGUCCCAUCAGUUUUCUGGAUUUAACAACUGUGUAUGCCUGAAUUUACCAAUUUAUCAGUAGCAAUAACUCACCUUUAAAAAGUCUCGGUGGAACAUUUUAAUUAGUUUGGUCUCACGGCUUGUCUAAAAUGCUUCUGAUAGCACAGCAUACACUAAAGCAAUGCUAUGAAUGCCUAAAAAUAUAAAAUCUAAUUAUGGUACCCGUGCAACUGGAGUAAUGAGAAGUGAGCGUGACUGAUAAGAAGAGAGACAGCAGGCUAACAAGCUGAACUGCUGUAGUUCAAUGGACUGGCCGGGGUCUAAACAAAACACCUGUGGUAUUGCUUGGAGGAAGAUAUGUGGACUUGGAAACAGGAACUUACAGCAUUAAAAGAGAUAUCAUAUGAAAUGAAUACAUGACGAUACUAAUUAUUAGUGCAAGUGUUUAGCACAUGGCUAAAAUAAAUAACCAGUGAGAACGUGCAGAACUGAAGAUGACUGGUAAGGGAAAUACACCUGAUAUAGGGAAUAAGAAAUUACCCACUGCAAAUAAGAGAAAGCUGUAACUCCUGUUCUUAGGGUUCAUGUUGCUGGACAGACCGACUUCACAGAAUGCUGCCUGUGACUAUUACACAGUGUUUGUUAUCUUGGAGCAGUUAUUCUACAGGAGCAACUGCAAUGCCCUAAGUGGCCUGCGAGACAAAGGCCAUGGGUGCAAAAAGAUGGGAAAAGAGAAAUCAAAGCAGAAACUCUCUGUCAUAAAUGAGGAAGAUGAACAGGGGGAGGCAACUGAUUAUUUUGUCUUCCUUUAUUUCCAUACACUCUCAAACCAAAUCAGCUGCAGCAUCUCCAGCUGCACCAUUCUCCCAUCUGGACGUGCGUGUAACGUUAUUGACUGCAGCACAAUUAUACAGGAGCCAAGCGAGGAUAAUUCAGGAGAGAAACAGAACCAUCGUUCACACAAUAUCCUUUCUACAGAAAGUUCUUACAGCUUGUAUAGUGCACCACGUCCUGAUACAUGUAUUAAAUAGUAGAAAUAUUAUUAAAUAUGCAAAAAUCUUAAUUUCUUUUACUAUAUUUAGACUCUCAGUAGUGAAACUGCUCCAGGUUGACAGCAUUUAGAAUAAAAGCACUCCUAAUGACA